rnacentral:rRNA from 1 species
AGCAAACAGGAUUAGAUACCCUGGUAGUCCACGCUGUAAACGAUGUCGAUUUGGAGUUUGUUGCCUAGAGUGAUGGGCUCCGAAGCUAACGCGAUAAAUCGACCGCCUGGGGAGUACGGCCGCAAGGUUAAAACUCAAAUGAAUUGACGGGGGCCCGCACAAGCGGUGGAGCAUGUGGUUUAAUUCGAUGCAACGCGAAGAACCUUACCUGGUCUUGACAUCCAUAGAAUUCUGCAGAGAUGUGGGAGUGCCUUCGGGAACUAUGAGACAGGUGCUGCAUGGCUGUCGUCAGCUCGUGUUGUGAAAUGUUGGGUUAAGUCCCGCAACGAGCGCAACCCUUAUUCUUUGUUGCCAGCGAUUUGGUCGGGAACUCAAAGGAGACUGCCGUUGAUAAAGCGGAGGAAGGUGGGGACGACGUCAAGUCAUCAUGGCCCUUACGACCAGGGCUACACACGUGCUACAAUGGCGUAUACAAAGGGAAGCGAAGGUGCGAGCUGGAGCGGAUCUCAUAAAGUACGUCUAAGUUCGGAUUGGAGUCUGCAACUCGACUCCAUGAAGUCGGAAUCGCUAGUAAUCGUAGAUCAGAAUGCUACGGUGAAUACGUUCCCGGGCCUUGUACACACCGCCCGUCACACCAUGGGAGUGGGUUGCACCAGAAGUAGAUAGCUUAACCGCGAGGGGGGCGUUUACCACGGUGUGAUUCAUGACUGGGGUGAAGUCGUAACAAGGUAACCA